AAUGAACGCUGGCGGCAUGCCUAACACAUGCAAGUCGAACGAAGGCUUCGGCCUUAGUGGCGCACGGGUGCGUAACGCGUGGGAAUCUGCCCUUGGGUUCGGAAUAACAGUUAGAAAUGACUGCUAAUACCGGAUGAUGUCGUAAGACCAAAGAUUUAUCGCCCAAGGAUGAGCCCGCGUAGGAUUAGCUAGUUGGUGAGGUAAAAGCUCACCAAGGCGACGAUCCUUAGCUGGUCUGAGAGGAUGAUCAGCCACACUGGGACUGAGACACGGCCCAGACUCCUACGGGAGGCAGCAGUGGGGAAUAUUGGACAAUGGGCGAAAGCCUGAUCCAGCAAUGCCGCGUGAGUGAUGAAGGCCUUAGGGUUGUAAAGCUCUUUUACCCGGGAUGAUAAUGACAGUACCGGGAGAAUAAGCUCCGGCUAACUUCGUGCCAGCAGCCGCGGUAAUACGAGGGGAGCUAGCGUUAUUCGGAAUUACUGGGCGUAAAGCGCACGUAGGCGGCUUUGUAAGUUAGAGGUGAAAGCCCGGGGCUCAACUCCGGAAUUGCCUUUAAGACUGCAUCGCUUGAAUCCAGGAGAGGUGAGUGGAAUUCCGAGUGUAGAGGUGAAAUUCGUAGAUAUUCGGAAGAACACCAGUGGCGAAGGCGGCUCACUGGACUGGUAUUGACGCUGAGGUGCGAAAGCGUGGGGAGCAAACAGG
rnacentral:rRNA from 1 species